rnacentral:rRNA from 1 species
CCUACGGGAGGCAGCAGUGGGGAAUAUUGCACAAUGGGGGAAACCCUGAUGCAGCAACGCCGCGUGAGUGAAGAAGUAUUUCGGUAUGUAAAGCUCUAUCAGCAGGGAAGAAAAUGACGGUACCUGAGUAAGCAGCCCUGGCCAACUACGUGUCAGCAGCCGCGGUAUUACGUAGGGGGCAAGCGUUAUCUGGAUUUACUGGGUGUAACGGGAGCGUAGACGGCGAUACAAGUCUGAAGUGAAAGCCCGGGGCUCAACCCCGGGACUGCUUUGGAAACUGUGUUGCUGGAGUGCUGGAGAGGCAAGCGGAAUUCCUAGUGUAGCGGUGAAAUGCGUAGAUAUUAGGAAGAACACCAGUGGCGAAGGCGGCUUGCUGGACAGUAACUGACGUUGAGGCGCGAAAGCGUGGGGAGCAAACAGGAUUAGAUACCCGAGUAGUC